GACGAACGCUGGCGGCGUGCUUAACACAUGCAAGUCGAACGGAAAGGCCCUGCUUGCAGGGUACUCGAGUGGCGAACGGGUGAGUAACACGUGGGUGAUCUGCCCUGCACUUCGGGAUAAGCUUGGGAAACUGGGUCUAAUACCGGAUAGGAGCCAUCUUUAGUGUGGUGGUUGGAAAGUUUUUUCGGUGUAGGAUGAGCUCGCGGCCUAUCAGCUUGUUGGUGGGGUAAUGGCCUACCAAGGCGGCGACGGGUAGCCGGCCUGAGAGGGUGUACGGCCACAUUGGGACUGAGAUACGGCCCAGACUCCUACGGGAGGCAGCAGUGGGGAAUAUUGCACAAUGGGCGCAAGCCUGAUGCAGCGACGCCGCGUGGGGGAUGAAGGCCUUCGGGUUGUAAACUCCGUUCGCUAGGGACGAAGCUUUUUGUGACGGUACCUAGAUAAGAAGCACCGGCUAACUACGUG
rnacentral:rRNA from 1 species